rnacentral:rRNA from 1 species
UACAGAGGGGGCAAGCGUUAUUCGGAAUUAUUGGGCGUAAAGGGCGCGUAGGCGGCCUGGCAAGUGGAAGGUGAAAUCCCUCGGCUUAACCGAGGAACUGCCUCCCAAACUGCUUGGCUUGAGACCAGGAGAGGUGAGUGGAAUUCCCAGUGUAGCGGUGAAAUGCGUAGAUAUUGGGAGGAACACCAGUGGCGAAGGCGGCUCACUGGCCCAUUACUGACGCUGAGGCACGAAAGCGUGGGGAGCAAACAGGG